UAUGACGGGUAUCCGGCCUGAGAGGGUGACCGGACACACUGGAACUGAGACACGGUCCAGACUCCUACGGGAGGCAGCAGUAGGGAAUAUUGCUCAAUGGGGGAAACCCUGAAGCAGUAACGCCGCGUGGAGGAUGAAGGUUUUAGGAUUGUAAACUCCUUUUGUGAGAGAAGAUUAUGACGGUAUCUCACGAAUAAGCACCGGCUAACUCCGUGCCAGCAGCCGCGGUAAUACGGAGGGUGCAAGCGUUACUCGGAAUCACUGGGCGUAAAGAGUGCGUAGGCGGGAAGGUAAGUCAGAUGUGAAGUCCUAUGGCUUAACCAUAGAACUGCAUUUGAAACUACUUUUCUAGAGUGUGGGAGAGGUAGGUGGAAU
rnacentral:rRNA from 1 species